rfam:Aedes albopictus isolate Foshan contig86749, whole genome shotgun sequence.
UGUUCUGUGGCUUAGUUGGUUAAAGCGCCGGUCUAGCGAAUACGGAGUCGUGGGUUCGAAUCCUACCAGAACGC